rnacentral:lncRNA from 1 species
AUGAGGUCACACAAUAUCCUGACCAGGCAGCAUCUGUUACAAACUGAGGGACAGGUUUUAUCCAGCUCUGAAGCAAAAAUGGAGGAUCAUCAGAACAGCUGUCAGAAGACUGGAAAGAAAUCUUGGAGAUCAUGUGUAAGUGUUCAUGAUGGGAGAAAGUAUCCUGCCUCCUCCCCAUCUCUGUUCCAUCCCAGAGAACAUGUUGUCUUCCAGCCAUUUUAGCCAGAGGGGCCUGCCAGAGUCACUAAAAAUGAAUUAAAUUGACUGUGUAGCUCCCCUAUCCCCCAAGAAAGUGUUUAUCAUUGUUAUCAUCUUCCCAUUUCCUCUCAAUGCUUCUUGGUAACAAUCUCUGCUGCUAGUGUCAAAAAGAUACAGAAAAGAUUUUACUGUCAUAACGUGCUUCUAACAUUUAUUACUCUCCAUGGCCAUGCAACUAGCUUAAAAAGUAACCUUUCAAACCACCAUGGGAGGAAGAGGAUGGGGGCUGUUGAUAACCCUGAAGACAAAAAUAGAAUGUUAAAACUUCAACUGAUCCCAUUCUGAUUCUUUCAACAGCUUCUUUCCUCUUUCAGAGUUUUGAAAGCUUACAUUUAAAGAAGUUUCCAAGAGAGGACUGGACAAAGGCUUAAGACAAAGCAAGUCUAUUCUACAAAACAGAUAAAUAAAAAAUAAGAAACAAAUAUCAAACAAAUAAGUUGCUUUUAAGCACUGUCCCCUCUCCAUGCCCUGUAAAUAAUUAAUCAUAAAAUAUAUAAAAUGAAAGCUAUCUGCAUUAUUCCAAAGGUCUAUUAGCAAUUUUUUUUAGUGAUUUUUCCAACUAUAUUGUGUCGACACCAAUAGUUUUAAUAACAGAAAGAUGACACUAGGAGAUUUUAGGAUAAAAUAAUUAUAAUAUAGCUCUUAGAAGAACAGUUUUUAUAAUUAGAUAGCUUGAAAUCAAAUAUGGAUUCUGCCUCUUUCUAGCUAGAGGAUGAUCAGAUAAGCUACUUAACCUUCUGAAGCUCUAGUCUGGUUUCCAUUUGUAAACUGGUGUUAUUAAUGGUACCUUUUUUUUACAGGGAUCUGUGUAAUUAUUAGGUGAGAUAAUGUUCAUAAAGAUCUUGGAAGAGAAUCCACCAAAUAAUUUGCUCUAAAAUAAGUAUUGCUUAUGAUACAGCUCAUUAUUUUCUGAUAAUUUCAUUUUAUAAAGUGUCACAAAGAAGCACAUGAAGUUUUGUUUUGAAUCUGGUUAAAGGCUUCUCUAGUGGUUCAUAUGGUAAAGAAUCUGCCUACAAUGUGGGAGACCUAGGUUCCAUCCCUGGGUUGNNNNNNNNNNNNNNNNNNNNNNNNNNNNNNNNNNNNNNNNNNNNNNNNNNNNNNNNNNNNNNNNUGGGCUAUAGUCCAUGGGGUCACAAAGAGUUGGACAUGACUGAGCAGCUGGGCACAAGUGAUGUUGAAGGAACACUGAACUUAAGGGUGGGGAAUGCACAGAGGAAAAAGAUUGGUUCAUUCAUUCAUUCAUUU